UACGGGGGGGGCAAGCGUUAAUCGGAAUUACUGGGCGUAAAGCGUGCGCAGGCGGCGCCGCAAGUCAGGCGUGAAAUCCCCGAGCUUAACUUGGGAAUGGCGCUUGAAACUACGGUGCUGGAGUGUGGCAGAGGGAGGUGGAAUUCCACGUGUAGCGGUGAAAUGCGUAGAGAUGUGGAGGAACACCGAUGGCGAAGGCAGCCUCCUGGGCCAACACUGACGCUCAUGCACGAAAGCGUGGGGAGCAAACAGG
rnacentral:rRNA from 1 species